AACCAUUGUGGAAGUCAGUGUGGCAAUUCCUCAGGGAUCUAGAACUAGAAAUACCAUUUGAUCAAACACAGUUUUAAAAGAUUCAUAAGUCGAAGCCCUAAUACCCAGUAAUUCAGAAUGUGACUGUAUUUAGAUAUGGAGAUAGGGCCUUUAAAGAAGCGAUUAAGCUAAAAUAAGGAUGUUAGGGUGGGCUCUCAUCUAAUUUGACUUGUAUUCUUAUUAGAAGGCAAUCUGGACACAAAGGGACACUGGGGUACAUAUGUACAGAAAAAAGACCAUGUGAAGACACAGUGAGAAAGUGGUCAUUUGCAAGCAAAGAAGAGGUCUCAGAAGAAUGCAAACCUGCUGACACCUUGAUCUCAGAAUUCUAGCCUCCAGAAUGAUGAGGACAUUGAGGCGCAGAGAAAUUAAGUGACCUUCCUCAGAGUCACAUAUGACAGCUAAAUGGUUACAAAGUCCAUAGUAACUAUAGGAUCCCUGUGAUGUUGUGAAAUAUCUAUUUGGUCUUCAUCCCAGUCUCCUAGCGCACAACUCCUAAAAUCCCUGGACUCUUCAAAGUGGUAAGUGUCUUUCUGAACACUGAUGACUUGACUGUUGGCUGGAAGCCCUUAGGUAGCUUCAAGAUGGGAGCUGGUCACCCAAAAGACAAAGGUAGGAUCAGAGGGUUGGGACUUUCAGCCCAUUCCCCAGUCUCCAAGGAGAAAAGAGGUUGAGUUUAUUGGUUUCAUCAAUUGGGCCCAUGUAAUGUAGCCUCCAUAAAGCCUCCCAAAGACAGUGUUUGGGGAGCUUCGGGAUAGCUGAAGACGAGGUUCCUGGAGGGUGGUGCACCUGGGGAAGGGAUGGUAACUCCAUGCCCCUUCCCAUAUGCCUUGCAUCUCUUCGUCUGUAUCCUUUUGUUUAUAUCCGUCAUAAUAAGCCAGUAAGGGUAAGUUUCUCUGAGGUCUGUGAGCUGCUCUAAGAAAUUAAUUGAACCCAAAGAAGGGGUUGUGGGAACUCUUAUUUAUAGUCAGUCAGAAGCACAGGUAAACCAACCUGUGGGCUUGUGAAUUGCAUCAGAAGUGUGGUGUAGGAGCUUGUGAAUUGCAUCAGAAGUGUGGUGUAGUGGGUAGUCUUGGGGACUGAGCCCUCAACCCGUGGGAUCUGAUGCUAUCUUCAGGUAGAUGGUGUCAGGAGUGAAUUGAAUUGAAGGACACUCAGCUAGAGUCUACUGCAGAAUUGAUGGCUUUCUUGCUGAUAGGGAGAAUCCCCACACACUGCUUGGUGACUACAGGGCACAUAAGUCUUCUGUGUUGAUUGCUGUGGGGUGAAAGUGGAGGAAAAGUUUGUUUUUUUCUACAUAAUCCCGUUGAAAGGUAAUUGUAAAAUAAUUGAAGUCACAGAAACAGAUUUUUAAAAAAGAACCAUUAAUUUCUCUGUUUCCCAUAACCUCAUUCUCAAAUAGAUUUCCAGUCAAUGUGCUACGAUUUCAUAGCUUUGCCAUUGUUGUUGUUUUCAGAGCUCCAAGACCACUAUUUCUUCAAGAUUUUUUAGAAUUUUUAAACAUCCUUCUCAUUGCACCUUUUAGUGGUCCCUUAUUGCAAUUCUAUCAUUCAAACUCAAUUAACCAAAUUGUUUAUUCUUUCUGCCUUUGUUUUCAUCUCAGCUGGAGCUACUCCAGGGGUUUACAGCUUGCCAGUUUUGCAAUGAAGUGCUUAGAUCAGAACUCUGAGCAGGACCCCGUUUACUGGGACAGUCUGGCCAUCAGAUGGUGCCUGUAUCAGUGUAGCCCCAGAUCUCAUGGCUUUGCAAACAUCUGUGCUCUCUGCUUUACCCUGCAGCAUUUCACUUCCAUUAAAAGUGCAGCCUAAAAUCUCCCUUGUGCAUCCUUGUCUGGGAACUGGGUGACUUCCAGUUGAAGGGUCAAUAAAUAUAAUUAAAAGGA